rnacentral:snoRNA from 1 species
GCAUGGCCGAAUUCUGAUUUACUCUUGAAGUGGUAAAUUCAGUCAGACAUCAUGCGAAAUAACAGUUUUCACACAGAC